GGGCAAGUGUUACCAACUUUGUUCGUCAAGUCGACACUUUUGGUCUCUUUGCUAAAUGUUACCAAUGUAAACCACCGGUUCCAGCUGCAGCCUGUUAAUCUUUUACCAACCGCUUGUGUUACACAACGAUCACAAUGUGUUACACACGAGUUCGAGAGAAAGAAUAAGAUAGACGUUUCAGGCUUAUAAACUUUUCUGAAAAUACUUUUGUAUUAUUGAGAUUCGGUAAUGUGUUUACAACAGAUGAUUGAUCUUUAUAUAGAGAUCGAAUCAAUACAAGUAUAAGAGACACAACUCUUUAUACUAAAGGACACAACUUGAAGAGUUACAACUCUUUGUGUAAUAACAUAAAUAACUAACUUAUGUAAAUGUAUCAAGGAGAGAUUAGAUUAUAGAGUUUAACACUCCUCCUUAAUCAUAUCUCGACUUGACUCCAAGCUGCUUCCUUAGAUCUUCAAAUCUUGAACCACCCAAUGCCUUUGUGAGAAUGUCUGCGAGUUGAUCAUCCCCUUUGCAAUACUUCAGUUCAAUGAUUCCCUUUUGCUCAGCUUCCCUCACGAAAUGGUACUUGAUCUCUAUGUGCUUCGUCCUUCUGUGUUGCACCGGAUUCUUCCCAAUUGCUAUUGCUGAUUUGUUGUCACAUAAGAUCGGAAUGCCUCCUUCAAACUUCUGACCAAAGUCUUCAAAUAGUCUUUGUAACCACACUGCUUGAUUUGCUGCUGCACACACGGCUAUGUACUCUGCCUCAGCCGUUGAUUGCGCCACUGUUUGUUGCUUGCUUGACUGCCAACAAAACAUGGCUGAUCCAAGAGUAAACACAUAACCUGAAGUGCUUUUCUUGUCUUCCUUAGAACCACCCCAAUCGCUGUCCGUGUAGCCUAGAAGUCUUGGUUCUUUCACGCUUGUGAAGUACACUCCAAAGUUUGAUGUUCCUUUGACAUAUCUUAACACCCUCUUGGCUUCUUGGUAGUGCUUCAUGCGAGGUGAUGACAUGUAUCUUGAGAGAUAGGCGCUUGCAUACAUCACAUCAGGUCUUGAUGCACACAAGUACAAAAGCCCUCCAAUGAUGCUUCUAUACUUAGUCGGAUCUCCAUACUCCUUGUCAUCCUCAACUCCUUUUCCUUGUGGUGUAAGUGGGUUGCUUACACUCUUGCUGUCUCGCAUCCCAAACUUGUCUACAAGUUUGUUUGCAUACUUUUCUUGUGAAAGAAAUAUGCCUCCAUUGUCUUGAAUUACUUCCAUUCCAAGAAAGUAGUUCAACAAUCCAAGAUCCACCAUCUCGAAUUCUUUCUUCAUGUUCUCCUUGAAUGUGUUGAUGCUCUGAAUGUUGCUUCCUGUGAUGAUUAUAUCAUCCACAUAUAGACUCACGAUCAACACAUCUCCUCCUUGCUUCAUGAUGUAUAAGGCCGCAUCAUUCAUACUCCUCUCAAAACCGUUUUGAAGAAAGUAUGAAUCUAUCCUUCCAUACCAUGCCCUUGGGGCUUGCUUUAAACCAUAUAAAGCUUUGUGUAGCCUUAACACCUUGUGUUCCUUCCCGUGUGUCACAUACCCAGGCGGUUGUGUGACAUACACUUCUUCCUUGAGGUCGCCAUUGAGAAAGGCUGACUUCACAUCCAUCUGAUACAAUUGCCACUUCAUCUGAGCCGCAUAGGCAAGUAUGGCUCGUAUUGUAUCAUGUCUUGAGACAGGAGCAAACGUCUCAAGGUAGUCAACACCAUACUCUUGAGAGAACCCUCUUGCAACUAGCCGCGCCUUGUGCUUGAUGUGAUUGCCGUUUGCAUCGGUCUUGAUCUUGUAGAUCCACUUCACACUUAUCACAUUCUUCUUCUUUGGCUUGUCCACUAGUUCCCACGUCUUGUUCUUCUCAAUCAUGGCUAUCUCCUCAUUCAUUGCUUCUCUCCAUUCCUUGGUACCACACGCUUCAUCAUAAGUGUAUGGUUCUUCAUUUGCAUGAAGACAAGCUUCUAUAGCUUGAGCCGCUUCAUCAAGCUCUACUCUCGGUGCCCUUUCCAUGAUAUCAACCAUGGACUUGAACUUCCUUGGUGCCUCAGAAGUUUCUUCAUCUCCACUACUAGUAUCAUGAUCAUCAUUUUGAAAAGAAAUAGGACUGAAAGUACCUCCAAAUUGUUCCUCAGGACUGGAUGCACCUUCGGUUUGUUCCUCAGGACUGGAUGCACCUUCGGUUUGAUCCUCAGGCGAGUGAGAGUCUUCCAUAGACAACUCCAAUGUCUUCCUCACUUCUUCUUGCCUUUUCCAAUCCCACUUCUUUCCUUCUUCAAACUCGACAUCUCUUGAUACUUCAAUCUUCUCAUUCUCCAAAAUGAGAACUCUAUAGCCUUUGGAUUGGUUGCUAUAUCCAACAAAGACUCCACGCUUUGCCUUGACGUCUAGCUUCCUCCUCUUUUGAUUUGGGAUAUGUAUGUAGCAUAUGCUACCAAACAUUCUCAUGUGUGACACAUCUGGCUUGUGUCCACACCACUUCUCUAUAGGAGUGACAUCUUCUUCUAUUGCCUUUGAUGGCAGACGGUUUUGAAGAUAUGAGGCAGUGUAUACCGCUUCUGCCCAUAACUUGAGCGGUAAGUCUUGCUCUGCCAACAUCGAUCUAGCCAUCUCCACCAAGGUCCUAUUCAUGCGCUCCGCUGCACCAUUUUGUUGUGGUGAAUAAGGCAAGGUGACUUGCUUAUUGAUUCCUUCUUCUUCACAGAACCGGUUGAAUUCUCGUGAAGUGAACUCACCACCUCCAUCUGAUCUCAGUGUCUUGAUGGUACAAUCCGACUGCUUCUCCACCAUUGCUUUGAACUUCUUGAACAGUGAGAAUGUCUCUGACUUUUGCUUCAUGAAGUAUACCCAACACAUGUGAGUAUGAUCAUCCAAGAAUAGCAAAAAGUAUCGGCUUCCAUCAACAGACUGGUGCUGCAUCGGCCCACAUACAUCCGUAUGUACAAUCUCAAGCUUCUCUCUUGUCUUAGUUUGAGAUUCCUUUGGGAAGCUUUUGCGUGAUUGCUUUCCAAGUCUACACGCCUCACAUGCUUCCUUCUUGACUUUAAACUUUGGUAAUCCCUUUACCAAGUCUUUGUCUUGCAUUUGUUGCAACCUUUUGUCGCCUACAUGACCAAGUCUCUUGUGCCAUGUCUCCAUCUUUCCUUGCUCACUAGCGCUCAAGGCCUCUUCUACCUGAGCCGAACUCAUCCUGAUUCGAUAGCUUUUGUGAGUCAUUGGGAUAUCCAUUAUCCUCCUUCCUUUUGCAUCAUCUAUGAUGCAUCUCUUCUCUUGGAAACUCACCCGGUAUCCGCUUGAAACAAUUUGUGGAACACUCAACAAAUUUUUCGCCAAACCCGGAACCAAGAAUACAUUUCUGAUGGUCUUCUUGCCACCUUUAGUCAUGACGGUAAUGUCUCCUUUACCGGCUGUCAUGACUGUGCUUCCAUUUCCAAUCUUUAUUGGAACCUUGAUACUCCUAUCAAGCUUUGAGAAGUAACUCUCCUCCUUUGUCAUAUGAUUAGUUGCUCCACUGUCUACUAACCAGACAUCUUCCAUCACUGUUGUUGCUGCUUCGCUCGCACUGAACAACAUGUGAUCUUCAUUUGAAUCUUCUUCGAGACUCACAUGUGCCUUCUCUUUCUUCUUUGAGUAGCACUGAUUUGCAAAGUGGCCUAACUUGCCACAAUUGUAACACUCCUUGUUACUUCUGUGAUCCUUCUUUGGAUCUUCCUUCUUCUGUUUCCUCCAACACUCGCUCUCAUUGUGGUUGUUUCUCUUGCAGAAACCGCACCACUUCUUGCCUCCUUGGCGCUUUGAGUUGUCUUGUGUAACACCAGAAUUUUUGUGUUUAACACGAGCAUCGAAUGCUCCUUCACUGGUGCUUUCUUCUCUUGCAGCCAGCCUUGCUUCAUGAGCCUUCAAGAUCCCGAUCAACUCUGUCAUCUUUGUUGAAGUCAAAUCGCUUGUUUGCUCCAACACACUGACUAUGCUAUCGAACUUGGCUGGGAGAGAGAUGAGUAUCUUCUGUAUGAGUUGAACAUCUGACUUCUGUUCACCAUGAUAAGUUAAUUGAUUUGCCAAUUCAACUAUCUUAUCUGUGAAGACCUUAAUGUCUUCAUUCUCAUACAUCUUCAGAUUCUCAUACUCCCUUCGCAAUGUUUGAAGUUUAAUCAAACGAACUUGAGGAGAGCCUUCAUACUCCUCCUUCAAUGCAUCCCACGCCUCUUUGGAUGUUGAUGCUGCUGCAAUCCGUGAGAAUAUAUGAUCCGAUACAGCAGUUUGCAAGAUUUGCAAAGCCAAUGUAUCGUUCAUCAUCGCUUCUUCUCUAAGCGAUCUUGCCCUUGCUGUUUCAGGGGUUUCAUCCACUUGUGCUGGUGGGGCUGCUACGCCUUCUUCAACCACAGACCAUAACUUCCUGGUCUUGAGAAUGGUUGUCAUCUUGAUGCUCCAGAAGUCGUACUUCUCUCCAUCAAAUAUGGGGAUUACUUGAUUCUUCAUCGUUUCGAGUGAUUCCGAAAUCGUAUGACAAAAUCCUCUAGCCUCCUUUUCUCCACGCCAAGUGUUUCUCUUACUAGUGCUUUUUCCUUUGUCCUCUCAAACCUGAAGCUCUGAUACCAUGUUAAUCUUUUACCAACCGCUUGUGUUACACAACGAUCACAGUGUGUUACACACGAGUUCGAGAGAAAGAAUAAGAUAGACGUUUCAGGCUUAUAAACUUUUCUGAAAAUACUUUUGUAUUAUUGAGAUUCGGUAAUGUGUUUACAACAGAUGAUUGAUCUUUAUAUAGAGAUCGAAUCAAUACAAGUAUAAGAGACACAACUCUUUAUACUAAAGGACACAACUUGAAGAGUUACAACUCUUUGUGUAAUAACAUAAAUAACUAACUUAUGUAAAUGUAUCAAGGAGAGAUUAGAUUAUAUAGUUUAACACAGCCGCCGCGCACGCUCCUGUUUCCGCUUUACACCACCGCCUUUGAGAGACCUAGCCUGCAUUGUUUAGUGCUUUCGUGGAGUUUAUUUGUUCGUCUUUUGCGUUUUGUAUUCUAUACGUGAGGGAGUAAAAGUCACGAAAAUAGUGUACCUUUUACAGAUCCCCUUUGAAUGCGUGUUAAGCUCUUAAUGUUUUUGGGGCGGGGGGUUUGUAAUUUUUUGUUCACUCCUUAGGUCGAUAAUAUCGUAGCGUGUGAUUGGUAUUAUUAAAACAAUAGGUUAACUAAAUGUAUAUGUGUUCUCUUCUUUUACCUGGCUUGUAGUAACAUAAUCCUUAUGAGCAUGCGUUUUGUUGUUAACAAAUGCUAAACCCGU
rnacentral:lncRNA from 1 species